rnacentral:misc_RNA from 1 species
UGGGCUUGACAUGUACGGCGCCGAAGCACACGGGCUUUCACCCGCUUUACCGUACAUGUCAAGCCCAGGUAAGGUUCUUCGCGUUGCAUCGAAUUGAGCCACACGCUCCGCCGCUUGUGCGGGCCCCCGUCAAUUCCUUUGAGUUUUAGCCUUGCGGCCGUACACCCCAGGCGGGGCACUUAAUGCGUUAGCUACGGCACGGAACCCGUCGAUAGAGUCCCACACCUAGUGCCCAACGUUUACGGCGUGGACUAC